GACGAACGCUGGCGGCGUACUUAACACAUGCAAGUCGAACGAAGUGGCGAACGGGUGAGUAACGCGUAAUCAACCUGCCCUUCAGAGGGGGACAACAGUUGGAAACGACUGCUAAUACCGCAUACUGAAGGAGGGGAUUGCGUCUGAUUAGCUAGUUGGAGGGGUAACGGCCCACCAAGGCGAUGAUCAGUAGGCGGUUGGAGGAGAGGAACGGCCAAAGUAGGGUUGGGACCCGGCCCCGACUCAGACGGGAGGCAGCGGUGAGGAUACUUCCGAAAUGGACGAAAGUCGUACGGAGGAAGGGCGGUGGGUGGAUGACGGCUUUGGGGAUGUAGGGGUCGGUAGAUCGGAAAACGGUACCGGAAUAGAAAGCCACGGCUAACUACGUGCAAGCAGCCGCGGUAAUAC
rnacentral:rRNA from 1 species